CGAGUCAGCUGGGCAAUUGCCAUUGGCGCUCUUUGUUUAUCGCCUGGCGUUAUACAAGGAAGCAGGUGGAGGAAAGUCCGGGCUCCAUAGAGCAGGGUGCCAGGUAACACCUGGGGGGUGUGAACCCACGGCUAGUGCAACAGAAAAUAUACCGCCUGAUUGCUUCUGAGCAGUCGGGUAAGGGUGAAAUGGUGUGGUAAGAGCGCACCGCACGGCUGGUAACAGCUCGUGGCUAGGUAAACCCCACCCGGAGCAAGGUCAAAUAGGAAUCCUUCAGUGUUGCUCGCAUUGGAUUCGGGUAGACCGCUAAAGGCCUGUGGUGACGCAGGUUAUAGAUGAAUAAUUGUCCUCGACAGAACCCGGCUUAUAGGCUGACUUUUUCC
rnacentral:RNase_P_RNA from 1 species